rnacentral:rRNA from 2 species
UGGGCGUAAGCGCGCGCAGGCGGUUUCUUAAGUCUGAUGUGAAAGCCCACGGCUCAACCGUGGAGGGUCAUUGGAAACUGGGGAACUUGAGUGCCGAAGAGAAAAGCGGAAUUCCACGUGUAGCGGUGAAAUGCGUAGAGAUGUGGAGGAACACCAGUGGCGAAGGCGGCUUUUUGGUCUGUAACUGACGCUGAGGCGCGAAAGCGUGGGGAGCAAACAGGAUUAGAUACCCUGGUAGUCCACGCCGUAAACGAUGAGUGCUAAGUGUUAGAGGGUUUCCGCCCUUUAGUGCUGCAGCUAACGCAUUAAGCACUCCGCCUGGGGAGUACGGUCGCAAGACUGAAACUCAAAGGAAUUGACGGGGGUCCGCACACGCGGUGGAGCAUGUGGU